UCAGCUCUACUGGAAAUAAAUAAUCAGUCAAUGUCAAGCAAUGUCAUGAGAUGGAUCAACACUCAGUGGAGCAGGUAUUCAAGUGAAAGCCAUGACUGUUCCUGUGGUCUAAUUCUGCUAUUUACUCUGUAAUAUAUAUUAUGUGUCAUGUCUGUGGAUGUACAAGAGUACAACACAAAAUACAUGAAGGAAAAUGGAAACUGAAGAUGUGAGGAAUAAGUUUAAUGCUAAUCUAUGCAUGUUGUUAGUAUUUGCGUUGAUGCAUGGGUGUGUAUGGGUGUAUGUGUGUGUUUAAGCACUGUACAGUUGACUGUCACAUAUUAAUAUCCUGCUGUAAUGGCAGCUUUUAAAAGCAGAUACGUAUCAGUGACAGAGGGAAAAAGGCGAUCAGGAAGGUUGGAGGUGAGAAAUAAUGGUGAGUAUAUAUUUGAUAUAAUAUAUUUGACAGCCAAUCAUUCAUGUUAACUCUAAUCUAAAAUAAAUAUUACAGCAACAUUUCUGAAAUUAACAAAAUUGAGUUCUGGGCUCCUCAAGGAUGCACAAAGGAAAGAGAUAAAUCACACUGACUGAAAAAUGCUUAAAGAUUUGUGAAAACAACUGCACUGAGCAGAAAGAGGAAUUUUAAAUAAAGAAAAUGAAAAAAUCAUAAUUAAACAAUUAAAUUAUAAUUUUGUUUGAACAAUGCAUAUAUCAGGUACAAUUAUGAAAUCUAUGAAAUCGCCCUUUCACUGAUUUUAUAUUAACCUUACAUAUCAUAAGUAAGGGCUGAUUAUUUUAAAUAUGUUCACUUUAUAACUGGUUGAUAAGUUGCUAUUUUUGCUCUUUAAAUACCAUUUUUAUUAAUAAUUAAACAAACAUUCAUUUUGACCCCAAAACCAUCCAUCAACCUCAUUUCUCAUUCAAUUUAGUUUUCAAUAAGAAUAUUGGUACUUUUAUUAUAUAUAUUUAUAAUCAAAAUAAAUGCUGAAAUAAUAAUUGACAAGAUUUAUCACAUAAAAAUAAAAACAAUAAUAAUUAUAAUAGUUAUAAUAUCGCAUAACAAUUUGAGGUCAAAUUAAAAAUUAAAUAUGUUAAAAUAUGAGUUUUUCUUUUGUACUUCAUCAACUUCUGUUCCAUAUUCCAGCACAAAUCGUGUUUCCUUCUUUAGAAACUUAAUAUUAACCAUCGGCUUUCUGGUUACGAAUAUUUGUAAAGUUUUCCAACUCAUUUGCAUCUAAAAGUACAUUUUCUUGCAUCAACUGUUGUGUCAAAACAAAUUGAUUCAGGUAGAAAAACUUAUAUCAUACAUGUUGAUGAACUUCCAACAUAUAAAACUAUGUGAUUGAUUCUAGCUGAAGAUUAGCUAAGAGAUGUUGUUUUUUCUCAAAUGUUGGCUGAGGGGUAAAGUGGGACAAAUGCUGUGGGGUAAAGCGAGACAUGUAGCACAAGUUAAGUUUAGUCUUAAACAUAUUUUAGUGUAAUAUUACAUUACAUAUGUUUUAUUUUUAAUGCCAUAAACAUUGUAGAAAAGCCAUCAUGCAAAUAAACUACACCAGGGCCGACAACCUUGGGCCAAACACCCCUUACAGAGAUGGAGAGUAAAGCCGCUGAGGUCAUGCAAGGAAAGACGUCCUUAAGAAAAGCUGGAAGGGAUAGAAAUAUUGAAAAGACAACCCUCAAAAGAUUCAUAAAGAAAAAAGAGAAAGGGGAAGACAGUAGCCUGGGGUGCAGUAGCUGAGGUUAAGAGAAUAUUCACAGAUGAGAUGGAGGAGGAGCUUGCCAAACACUUGAAACAACUAGCUGACCAGUUCCAUGGCCUUGCUCCAGUUAAGUGCCGUGAACUGGCAUUUGAAUACACAGAGAAAAACAAUAUCCCUGUCCCUGCCAAUUGGACAGAGAAACAAUGUGCAGGUAAGCUAGGGUGUGCAAGAGAUCACAUGAAUCAUAAUAAUCAUAAAUGCGCUUAAUUGACCUAUUACAACAUGUGUUGUUAUGGUAGUUUUAAAGUGGAAAAAGUGAGUGGAUCAAUUUACCCCCUUGUUUUCUCUGGUCUGUCUCACUUUACCCCUAAGCUGGGGUAAAGUGAGACACAAGACCACUUUUUAAAAACAAGCAUAUUUUCACCGCCCUUUGUCCUGAAGACAUUCUGAUCAUUUCCACUGCUAGAAACAUCCUGAAUUAAUGAGAAAUGUGUACAUUUUACUGAUAUAUAAUUUAAGUUCGCCUACAUUACCCCGCUCUCCCCUACCCGAGGGUGCAAACCCAGAACAACAAGAAUCAAGAAAGUACAAUUUCUUCAAAAAUAGAGCAAAACUACAAAGUGCUAUAACUCUGAUAUGAUUGUGACUUACAACGGUAAUUAGCAUGAAUCAUCAGUCCAAAGGCUAUUUGAAUAAAAUUAUCCUGUGUUUAAAAGUACGUAAGUGGUAUUAAUAUUAUUCAAAUUGAAAUGUGUUUAUGUUGGGCACAAUGAAACAGGUCUGAAGAAUUUAGGUUGAAAAGUUUUAAAAUACAAAUUAUUCCUAACAUCUGAGUACAAAUGGCAGUAGGCACUUGCAAAGUCAGCGUUGGGAUUAUGAGGAGGUCUUGGGAAAAAUGUUCUCUGGCCUCAAAAACUUUGAGAACCCCUGCUCUAAUGAAUCUGUUUCAGGGAUUGUACACAUUGAUUUUUAGCCAUUACAUUUACAGUAUCUAUCUAAAAUAAGACUUGGAGGAUUUGCUUGAAUAUGCUGAACAUGUGUGGUAGCAAAGUGUACUUCUUACACUAUUCUGACUGCAGUAACUCCUAGGUGCUGUUCAAAAAGAGACAUCCGCUGAGAGUGUAAAGCUAUAUUUAUUGAGGUUAACAACUGUAGUGGAAAAAUAACUAAGUGUGGGUGAAACCCAUUUUUUUGUUGAAAAGUACGUUUUUGCAUACCUGAUUGAUACUUUUAUGAACUGAACUGUUUGUGACCUGAAACCUAUAUAACAUGUCUAAAUACUCUUAUGACCUGAAACCUUUAUGAACUAUUUUAUUAGUUAUUUACUGACCAGAGAACCGAAUUUAUGUCUGCUCUAUCUCCUAAGGAAACAUAAGUAAAUCCGAUUUCUGUUUUUUGAUUCCUUUCUCAAACUGUGCCUACAGAACCAGUCUGAACUGGCUAAGACACACAGCCUUAGUUCUCCGAUAUAAGAUCCUUGCAUUUGACUGUUCUCCAUCUUCACUCUGAGAUCUCUGUGACUCUCUAUGUAUGAUCCGUUCUGCAGAAACCCCCUAUAAAAAAUACACGUAGAUAAAUUUGUGCUCCAGCCUCUUGUGUUUUCAGAUUUCCAUCACAAGGUGGCUGCUUCACUCUGAAAAAAUGUGUCUGUACAAUGUUUGUGAAAAACUGGGAACAGAGCAGUUUUGUGGUAUUGGUGCCCUGCACUGAUGCCACUGUCUAAGACCAUUUGCCACAUGAAAGGGCAGAGGCAGUGCACUGGGUCUCUAAAAACCAAUGCCAGCUAAAAGCUAAUACUUUUUCCUGCAACCUGUGUCUUUAGUUGACAUAACAGCUGUCUCUCCUUUCAGGAGCUGCAGAUCAUGGAGGCCGAACUGAAAUAAAAUGGUAACCUAGAAACAUCAAUAAUGGUGGGACACUACAAGAAGGUUCAGCUAUACUAUGGCCUUCUCAACCCAACUCAAGCAUUUAGCAUUUAGUUCAAAACACUAAAAUAAAAGCCUUUGAGCCUCAUUUGGUCUUAAUGAUUUCAUCUUGAGGACGUGGGUUUAUUUUACCUGCAUGUCCCUCACUAAUUCCAACCUGGGUUGUAGGUAACUUUUGACCUAUGCAACUAGAUGAGCUAGACUUGGAUUAUUUUUCUAAUCUCAAAGAGAGGAAUAUACAUUAAAAACAGCAGUAUGUACGUCUUUUUGCAACCAAACCAGAAAAUAUAAAGAGGAGUGAUGUAAAGCCUGCAUGUGUUAUAUACCCCAAUCAGGCAAUGCUGACUUCCACCUCCGCCAAGGCAGUUAGGUUUUCGCCCCUGUUUGUUUGUUGACUUGCUUGCUUGUUUUUACAUUUUUAUCCAUCAUUGAAAAUAAUGAGGAAAAAUAAAUAUUUUUUUCAUUUUACAAAUACAUAUUCAAUGUGACUGGCCAACCCCCACAACAGAAUAGCUUUAUGUGCAGGGGAUAAUGCAAACUACAGUGGUUCUCUGAACCAAACUUAUUCCAGAGAAAAGCUCUCUCUGAUUCUCGGAAACAGUAUUACUAGAAGAAAUGGGAAGGGGCAGAGAAAAUGAAAGUGAUGAUGCUAGGUAAGUGUUGCAUAGCAGAAGCAGAGUGUUUCCCCUCAGUAUAUAAAAGACAGAAACGUCCUAUGCUAUUCCGACAAUGUCAAUGUGUGUAAUGUUCAUAGGGUCACUGGUGUUGAUUAACUCUCAUAGAAUUAAUACUUGACUCUGCAGUAUUGUUGUUCAAACUCCUGAAAUCAGAACAUUUUAUUUCAGUCACAGAAAAAUUUAAAAUCUGUUUUUGAUACUUUGCCAAUUAUAUCAUUAUGCAAACAAGAAAAUAUAUGUCCUUAGAUCUGUAAACAAAAAAUCAUGAAAGAGAGGGAAUAGCAGUAGCUAUAUCUAACUUGCACAAUGCCAUGUAUUUUUGUAACCAGGCUUCCGUACAGUCUGAGUGAGCUGACCUUUAACCUUAAAUGCCUGUCUCCUCUUCCCACAGGACUACCAGACAGUAGAUCCAGAAAAUGCAAGUGCUUAAACGGUUAUAUCGGCCAGGUCAACGAUAGGUUCAUCCGGCAGAUCAAGUAAGAGCCAGUCAUACACCACCCAAACAUCUUCUGCCAACAAAUCGAGAUUAUUAUAAACAUAGGAAAGCAGGAGAAAUGCGUGAAUCCACAGUCAAGAUUCGGAAAAUGUCUUCUCAAAAACAAAAAUAAGCAUGAGAACAAGAGAGCUGCGAUCAUGACGACGACCUCCAGUCAAACAAAUGCAUGGAGCUCAACAAGACUCCUCCCCACAGACUCUGCUCCAACGACCAUGUAACGGCACAGAAACCCUGUUGUUGUAAUAGAAGCUUACCUUUGUCAUGUUAUCACUAUAAGUGUUCAAAUGUUCUCAGUGGCCAAUCACCAGUUCAUGUUCUCAACUUGUCUUCACCUGUAUAUAUGAAGUAAAUAAUCUGUACAUAUAUUUACAAUAAUAAAAAACACUGAAUGGUC